rnacentral:rRNA from 1 species
GACGAACGCUGGCGGCGUGCUUAACACAUGCAAGUCGAGCGGUAAGGCCCUUUCGGGGGUACACGAGCGGCGAACGGGUGAGUAACACGUGGGUGACCUGCCCUCAGCUCUGGGAUAAGCCCGGGAAACUGGGUCUAAUACUGGAUAUGACUCCAUGACGCAUGUUGUGGGGUGGAAAGCCUUGUGCGGCUGAGGAUGGGCCCGCGGCCUAUCAGCUUGUUGGUGGGGGAUGGCCUACCAAGGCGACGACGGGUAGCCGGCCUGAGAGGGCGACCGGCCACACUGGGACUGAGACACGGCCCAGACUCCUACGGGAGGCAGCAGUGGGGAAUCUUGCGCAAUGGGCGAAAGCCUGACGCAGCGACGCCGCGUGAGGGAUGACGGCC